GAGACUGCCCGCGAAAGCGGGAGGAAGGCGGGGAUGACGUCUAGUCCGCAUGGCCCUUACGGCCUGGGCGACACACGUGCUACAAUGCCCGGCACAGAGCGCUGCCACAUCGCAAGAUGGAGCUAAUCGCCUAAAUCCGGGCUCAGUUCGGAUUGGGGUCUGCAACCCGACCCCAUGAAGCUGGAAUCGCUAGUAAUCGCGGAUCAGCCAUGCCGCGGUGAAUACGUUCCCGGGCCUUGUACACACCGCCCGUC
rnacentral:rRNA from 1 species